AGCCAAGUUUUCAACACAUCUUUUUAGGAAGGGCACUUCAUAUCCAAACCAUAACUGAAAAAUCUGGAAGGGGCUUCUUCCUCAGAAACAGUAAGUUAUCUACUUCCAUAACAACAACCACUUCUCUACUCAAAAUGGAACUGACAAGCAUCACAAAUCAAAACAACAGGGAAGGAAACCCUAUUCUUGUUGAAUGACCGCACAGCUGAUGGGACUAUGAUUAUGGAGUUCUUUGUGGAUGUAACCAUUCAUAAGAAGUGCCUUGAG